rnacentral:rRNA from 1 species
UGAGUAACCUGCCCUUCACUCUGGGAUAACUCCGGGAAACCGGGGCUAAUACUGGAUAUGACUCGAACAGGCAUCUGUUUCGGGUGGAAAGAUUUAUUGGUGGAGGAUGGACUCGCGGCCUAUCAGCUUGUUGGUGAGGUAAUGGCUCACCAAGGCGACGACGGGUAGCCGGCCUGAGAGGGCGACCGGCCACACUGGGACUGAGACACGGCCCAGACUCCGUACGGGAGCA